UAGAUUACCAUAACCAGUCGAAAGUCAAACUCUUGUCUUCUUCUUUAUGUUCGGGUUUUGGAAAGCGUCGUUAAGGUGCUUCAUCGCAACCUACUGCGUUGCAGCGUGGAUCACACAUACGUCCCAUUAUUUCAAAUACACACCUAUGACAAUACGUCACCAACAGGUGCAGGGAAGCUAACAUGCUAAAUGCUAAAACCCUCAUGGUGGACGUUCACCAUGAGGGUUUUCUGCUGUUUUGGACAAUAACCCCUGAUGUGACUGCAGACGCUCACUCUGCUCAACAGGUUUGAACACUUUGAGGGAUGGAUGUCCCCUGCACGUGCACAGCAAAUUAAGUCUAAGAAGGCCUAAGGUACUCAGCACUCACAGUCACACAGAGCUCUUCAAAAAGCGCUGUCGUAAAAUAUAGACAUUUACCGCCCCAGAGAGAGGAGCCAUUUACGUUUCACAAGAAAAGGUUUCUGGAGUCCUUAGAGAUUCUGGUCAGAGGCCUAAUGACACAGUUGCCAUGCAGCAGUUGGGUAAACACGACGGAGGCUCCCUGCCGGCUGCUGCAUGCGGUGACCUGGGAAUGAAGGCGCUCAGUCGUGCUGACUCGGUGAAUCUGAGCACCACAGAGGCUUGCUUGUCACACUGCCAACUAUUCGAUUUGUUUAGAGACACAAUAUGGCCGUCUUGGCUGUUUGCUGGAAAAGACGCCAGGGGAGCCGGUACUUGCCAGCCAACUUUCUCUUGUCGCUCUUUCUCUCUUAUUUUUCACUGUGAGGCCGCACUCUGCAGGGAGUGUUUGAAGAAGGAAAUGUGCUUUCAUGGAAUAUUCAAAGCCGUGAUCAAACAUCCAAUGUUC